rnacentral:rRNA from 1 species
AGAGUUUGCUCCUGGCUCAGGAUGAACGCUGGCGGCGUGCCUAACACACGCAAGUCGAGCGAAGCACUUUGAUUGGAUCCUUCGGAUGAAGAUAAUUGUGACUGAGCGGCGGACGGGUGAGUAACGCGUGGGCAACCUGCCUUACACAGGGGGAUAACAGUUAGAAAUGACUGCUAAUACCGCAUAACACCGCGGAACCGCAUGGAUCUGAUGUAAAAACUCCCGCGGUGUUAGAUGGGCCCGCGUCUGAUUAGGUAGUUGGUGAGGUAACGGCUCACCAAGCCGACGAUCAGUAGCCGACCUGAGAGGGUGACCGGCCACAUUGGGACUGAGACACGGCCCAGACUCCUACGGGAGGCAGCAGUGGGGAAUAUUGCACAAUGGGGGAAACCCUGAUGCAGCGACGCCGCGUGAGCGAUGAAGUAUUUCGGUAUGUAAAGCUCUAUCAGCAGGGAAGAAAAUGACGGUACCUGACUAAGAAGCCCCGGCUAACUACGUGCCAGCAGCCGCGGUAAUACGUAGGGGGCAAGCGUUUAUCCGGAUUUACUGGGUGUAAAGGGAGCGUAGACGGUCCUGCCAGCCAGAUGUGAAAGCCCGGGGCUCAGCCCCGGGACUGCAUUUGGAACUGUAAGGCUAGAUUGUCGGAGAGGCAGGCGGAAUUCCAAGUGUAGCGAUGAACUGCGUACAUAUUAGGAGGAACACCAGUGGCGAAGGCGGCCCGCCGGGACGAUGACCUGCCGUUGGGGCUUCGAAAGGCGUGGGGAGCCAACCAGGAUUAGAUUCCCCUGGUAGUCCCACGCCGUAAAACGAAGGACUUCUUGGUGUUCGGGUGGGCAAAGCCAUUCGGUGCCGGCAGCCAACGGCAAUAAGUAGUCCCCCUGGGGGAGGUACGUUUCGCAAGAAUGAAACUCAAAGGAAAUUGCGGGGACCCCGCACAAGCGGUGGAGCAUGUGGUUUAAUUCGAAGCAACGCGAAGACCCUUACCCUGUUCUGGCCAUCCUUCUGACGGCAAAGUAAUGUUGCUUUUCUUUCGGGACAGAGGAGACAGGUGGUGCAUGGUUGUGGUCAGCUCGUGUCGUGAGAUGUUGGGUUAAGUCCCGCAACGAGCGCAACCCUUAUUUUCAGUAGCCAGCAUUUAGGAUGGGCACUCUGGAGAGACUGCCAGGGAUAACCCGGAGGAAGGUGGGGAUGACGUCAAAUCAUCAUGCCCCUUAUGACCAGGGCUACACACGUGCUACAAUGGCGUAAACAAAGGGAAGCGAACAUGUGAGUGCAAGCGAAUCCCAAAAAUAACGUCUCAGUUCGGAUUGUAGUCUGCAACUCGACUACAUGAAGCUGGAAUCGCUAGUAAUCGCGAAUCAGAAUGUCGCGGUGAAUACGUUCCCGGGUCUUGCACACACCGCCCGUCA